ACUGCUCUAGAUGGACUUGGAGGUUCUUUCAUUGUGGUUUCUCUGCUGCUUUCCCUUCGAAAGCUGAGAUUAUCUGAAUAAUUUGAAACCUCUGCUGUUUGUCCGAUCUCUUCUUUUGUUCUGUUCUUUUCAUACUUUUUUGGCUUUUGAUCACUUGAAAUAUCCAGUUAUUUAUGGAUCCAUAAGAAUGACUGGCUUAGUUUCUGGAUCUCAUUCCUAACUCAGGGAAGAGCAUAGUGAUAUCUACAUCAAGGUUGAGAAACACUGUUAUAAUACCUGGAUUUGAUUCCCGCAUAUUCCUUCACCUUCCUACCCAGAGUUUGGGAUGAAACCCAGGAAUUAUAAUUUUUUAUCUCUGUUGCUCUUUGUCCUGUCUCCCAGGUUUUUAUUAAGAGCUCCUAAACUACCUUUUGGAAUCCUCAUUAUCUAUAUUUGCUACAUGGACCAAAAACUUUUAAAGUCUUUCCCAGAAGAAGCACAUUGUCGCUCACUCUCUCCUUCCCUCUCACACAUGUGAACAAACUACACCAGUGCCUUCCGCAGAAGGAUGAGGAGGGAGGAUGGCUUAAGGGAAAUCAAAUACACAGGUGGUUUUGUGCAUUUUUCCUAAGAAAAUUAGCCUAUUUUCAUUGUUGUAUGUUUUUCCUCUCUUUUCCCCCCUCCCUCCCAUGCUUCCCCAGAAAACGAUGCAAGCUAAACUUGAAUUCUAAAUGAUAUAUUCUUGUCAGAAAUAUUUUCCUGGGCAGAACCCUUGACUCUCUGUAAGGUAGGAUGAAGGAUUUCUGGCAAGAUAGAUGGAAUAUGCCUGAAGAGUACUCUGAUUUAAUAGGAAAAAGGAUGAAGUUACAUUCCAGAAUGCUCCAGAUUGCCUUUUUAAUUUUCAGGAACAUACAGAAACACUGUGCCAUUUAAAUACAAGAACGUCCUGACUCUUAUGAUCCAACCCAGCCCUUUAAACUGACGUGUUCAAUAACAAUAGGAAGCAAAAACUAAAGCUGCUCCUCUUUGGAAUCGAAAUACACCUCCAACGUUUUCUCUAGAUCAGAAUUCCGUCUUGUUCCAAAGUCUACGAUGGAUAGCUGAGCCUUGAUUUUUGUCUUGAGGAAAUUGUAAUAAACUUUAUUUAUAAUCCAAUUAUUAAAA